rnacentral:rRNA from 1 species
AAUAGAUACCCUGGUAGUCCACGCAGUAAACGAUGAUUACUAGCUGUUUGCGAUACACAGUAAGCGGCACAGCGAAAGCGUUAAGUAAUCCACCUGGGGAGUACGCCGGCAACGGUGAAACUCAAAGGAAUUGACGGGGGCCCGCACAAGCGGAGGAACAUGUGGUUUAAUUCGAUGAUACGCGAGGAACCUUACCCGGGUUUGAACGUAGGGAGACAGGAGUGGAAACAUUCUUUUCAGCAAUGACUGCCUACGAGGUGCUGCAUGGUUGUCGUCAGCUCGUGCCGUGAGGUGUCGGCUUAAGUGCCAUAACGAGCGCAACCCUUAUUUCCAGUUACUAACAGGUGAUGCUGAGGACUCUGGAGAGACUGCCAGCGUAAGCUGUGAGGAAGGUGGGGAUGACGUCAAAUCAGCACGGCCCUUACAUCCGGGGCGACACACGUGUUACAAUGGUAAGGACAAAGGGCAGCUACCGGGCGACCGGAUGCGAAUCUCUAAACCUUAUCUCAGUUCGGAUCGGAGU